GGAGAGCUGGCCGAGAGGUCGAAGGCAGCUGACUCGAAAUCAGCCGUGGGUGUAUGCUCACCGGGGGUUCGAAUCCCUCGCUCUCCGCCA
rnacentral:tRNA from 3 species